GACGUAGGGGGCGAGCGUUGUCCGGAUUUAUUGGGCGUAAAGAGCUCGCAGGUGGUUCCUUAAGUCUGAUGUGAAAGCCCACGGCUCAACCGUGGAGGGUCAUUGGAAACUGGGGAACUUGAGUGCAGAAGAGGAAAGUGGAAUUCCAAGUGUAGCGGUGAAAUGCGCAGAGAUUUGGAGGAACACCAGUGGCGAAGGCGACUUUCUGGUCUGUAACUGACACUGAGGCGCGAAAGCGUGGGGAGCAAACAGG
rnacentral:rRNA from 1 species